rnacentral:rRNA from 1 species
UACGAAGGGGGCUAGCGUUGUUCGGAAUUACUGGGCGUAAAGGGCGCGUAGGCGGCCGCUCAAGUCAGAAGUGAAAGCCCCGGGCUCAACCUGGGAACAGCUUUUGAGACUGUGCGGCUUGAGUUCCGGAGAGGAUGGUGGAAUUCCCAGUGUAGAGGUGAAAUUCGUAGAUAUUGGGAAGAACACCGGUGGCGAAGGCGGCCAUCUGGACGGACACUGACGCUGAGGCGCGAAAGCGUGGGGAGCAAAC